CUCAUAUAAGACUUGCAAAUAAAUCCAUGAGAACAGCCAGGGUUCCCGUUUACCACCAGGUCUUUUCCCUCUCCUGUUCUUUCUGGUCCCUGAGACUUGAAUUCCUUUCUGUUAGACAAAAAUUUUCAGCAGCACUGUUGCUCCUGUUUCAUGCCAGGUGGUUAGGGAAUUUACCACAGGGACAGUUCGCCUCCUCCACCCUCUGCUUUAUGCCUUUAUCAGCAGCUCUAACCUCUGCUAUUAUAGAAAUUGUGAAUUCCUCCACCCAUCUUUUACAGAAAAAGACUGAGCCUAACAACUUAUCCUAAGCACAGGGUGGGUUUCCGCCACCUUCUCUGGUGCACCUAAUUAAAAAAGACAUUUUCUGCCAGUCCACCCUCACCAGUAUUUGGUAUUGGAUGGCUGAAGAGUUCCCUGUCUACAUUCUCUGUUGAAAUUCCUCUUCUGAGACAUGCAGAGGCCUCAUCUCUGGAUCAUCUCUCUCUAAACCUUCUGAGAGGUCAAACUGUAGUUUGACCGCUUCUCUAGCCUGUGCAAAGACACAGCAGUGAGUAAGCAGGAACAAACAUCUACUGGGGAGCGUGAAGUCACCAGGUGAUUCCUGCCUGGUUCAGCCGAGGAUCCAGCCCAUGAUCCCCAACAACCUGUCUACGACUAAUCCUGACAUAAACUUAAUUCAAUGUGGAUACACAGCAGUAAGAAGGAAUCAGGCUCAGAUUUUACAGAUCAGGCACCAGUGGAAUCGAAUGAUUAACUUCAUCAGGAUUUCACAAGUUGGCCUGUGCUUGUCAGCAAUAAAGAGUGGCAUUUCAUUUCCCAAAUGAAAACACCAGUGUCCAAUUCAGCCAUUAAAAUCUUAGAAAAGUUUAUACUGAUAAAAAUCUGCUGUUAGAUAAAAUAAGA